rnacentral:rRNA from 1 species
CAGUCGCCGCGGUAAUGCGAAGGGUGCAAGCGUUAAUCGGAAUUACUGGGCGUAAAGCGUGCGUAGGCGGUGAGUUAAGUCUGCUGUGAAAUCCCCGGGCUCAACCUGGGAAUGGCAGUGGAUACUGGCUCGCUAGAGUGUGUCAGAGGAUGGUGGAAUUCCCGGUGUAGCGGUGAAAUGCGUAGAGAUCGGGAGGAACAUCAGUGGCGAAGGCGGCCAUCUGGGACAACACUGACGCUGAGGCACGAAAGCGUGGGGAGCAAACAGGAUUAGAUACCCCCGUAGUCCCUGUCUCUUAUAC